rnacentral:misc_RNA from 1 species
AAGACUAUAGACCUGCGGAGUACCUGCGGAAGGAUCAUUACCGAGUUUACAACUCCCAAACCCAUGUGAACAUACCUAUCGUUGCUUCGGCGGGAUCGCCCCGGGCGCCUUGUGUGCCCCGGAUCCAGGCACCCGCCGGGGGACCUUAACUCUUGUUUUAUUUAGAAUCUUCUGAGUAGUUUUUACAAAUAAAUAAAAACUUUUAACAAUGGAUCUCU